rnacentral:rRNA from 1 species
UUCCGGUUGASUCCGCCGGAGGUCAUUGCUAUCGGAGUCCGAUUUAGCCAUCUAGUCGCACGGGUUUAGCCCCGUGGCGAAUAGCUCCGUGACACGUGGCCAAUCUACCCAACGGACCGGUAUAACCUCGGGAAACUGAGGCUAAUCCCGGAUACUACUCUCGCGCUGGAACGCGGAGAGUUUGAAAWGUUCCGACGCCGUUGGAUGAGGCUGCGGCCGAUUAGGUAGACGGUGGGGUAAMGGCCCACCGUGCCGAUAAUCGGUACGGGUUGUGAGAGCAAGAACCCGGAGACGGAAUCUGAGACAAGAUUCCGGGCCCUACGGSGGCAGCAGGSCGAAAACCUUUACACUGCACGACAGUGCRAUAGGGGGACUCCGAGUGCGGAGGVAUAGUSCCUUCGCUUUUGUACACCGUAAGGUGKUGCACGAAUAAGAGCUGGGCAAGACCGGUGCCAGCCGCCGCGGUAAUACCGGCAGCUCGAGUGAUGACCGAUUUUAUUGGGCCUAAAGCGUCCGUAGCCGGCCGGGCAAGUUCGUCGGGAAAUCUACCAGCUCAACUGGUAGGCGUCCGGCGAAAACUGCUCGGCUUGGGACAGGGAGACUCAAGAAGUACGUCCGGGGUAGGAGUGAAAUCCCGUAAUCCUGGACGGACUACCGAUGGCGAASSAUCUUGAGAGAACUGCUCCGACGGUCAGGGACGAAAGCUGGGGUCUCGAACCGGAUUAGAUACCCGGGUAGUCCCAGCUGUAAACRAUGCUCGUUAGGUGCGACGCAGACUACGCGUCUGUGCUGUGCCGUAGGGAAGCCGAGAAACGAGCCGCCUGGGAAGUACGUCCGCAAGGAUGAAACUUAAAGGAAUUGGC